rfam:Erinaceus europaeus unplaced genomic scaffold scaffold00485, whole genome shotgun sequence
GGAUGUGAGGGCGUUCUGGCUGUGACAUCUGUCACCUCAUUGAUCGCCAGGGUUGAUUCGGUUGAUCUGGCUGGCUAGGUGGGUGUCCCUUCCUCCCUCACUGCUCCAUGUGCAUCCCUCCUGAAGCUGCGUGCUUGGUCAAAGAGGACGGCCUUCCCCGAAUAGAGAUGGACCGGUCUUCCGUCGAGGUUAUAAGAGUAGCUGCGCUCCCCUGCUAGAACCUCCAAACAAGCUCUCAAGAUUAGAACUUGGUCUAGGAUGUGAACAACAGAAAAACAAUUGAAGAUUUGUGUGUUUCUUU